ACGCGAAGAACCUUACCUACUCUUGACAUCCAGAGAACUUAGCAGAGAUGCUUUGGUGCCUUCGGGAACUCUGAGACAGGUGCUGCAUGGCUGUCGUCAGCUCGUGUUGUGAAAUGUUGGGUUAAGUCCCGCAACGAGCGCAACCCUUAUCCUUUGUUGCCAGCGGUUCGGCCGGGAACUCAAAGGAGACUGCCAGUGAUAAACUGGAGGAAGGUGGGGAUGACGUCAAGUCAUCAUGGCCCUUACGAGUAGGGCUACACACGUGCUACAAUGGCAUAUACAAAGAGAAGCGACCUCGCGAGAGCAAGCGGACCUCAUAAAGUAUGUCGUAGUCCGGAUUGGAGUCUGCAACUCGACUCCAUGAAGUCGGAAUCGCU
rnacentral:rRNA from 1 species